AAACGUAAGCAGUUUGUUCAGUGUUAAUUAGAAUUUACAGAACUUGGCACUGGCUUGAUCUCUGCAUACCUUCUUAUUCGCCUGGUAUCUGAUGAUUUGCCGCUCCGCUUGCAUCGGCCGCCCUGAAUCUCGACCAAUGACUCGCUGUCAGAGUCCGACUCGGUUUCGAGAGCCUGGUUCCCUGAGAUUGUUUCCCUCGGGCUAGCUGCGACCAAAACAAUGCGGCAGCAGGGCAAUUUUGGAAGACAAGAAUAUAAAUCCUAGGAAUUUUGGAGCAGACGAAAACAUCUGCACACAGAUCAGCAAGCUGAAGGUGCAUACCGGAAACGGCGGGCGUUUGCGACUGGGUUGGCGCCGGGGCAGCGUGGUGCGGCGGCGCCCGGAGGCCUUCGGACCACCACAAGUGGCCGGGGUUGCUCCCUUCCAGCUCCAGGGCGUUCUGCUGGAGCACAGGAUGAAAAUUCAGUUAAACGCACGAACAGUGAAGGUACAGAAGCAGAGGCUGAGCUAAGAGGGAAGCUUCGGGCUAGUAGCAGCUGCUCACCGAGUCGCCAAAGCAGAGGCCCGGCAGGCCGCUGCCGGGGGAGAACACGUCCGCUCUGGCGCCGGGGUCGCCGCCGAACCCGCCGUCGUCGUUUCCGUGGCCAGGCCUGCCCCGCUGGGCCUCGGCCUCGGCCUCGGCG